AUGGAGGACGGCAUGGUUGAGAGAAAGGAGGACAUGAAAGUCGUGGCAGCGCUCAUGCGUUCCACGCAGCCGGAGAUGCACGGCAUGCUCGCGGCGAAGGCAAGCGCCAAGGAGGCAUGGGAAGCCAUCCGGACCCAGCGCCUCGGUAGCAACCGCUUGCGCGAGCCGAACGCACAGAAGCUACGGGCGGACUUCAAGAACAUCACCUUCAAGGAGGGCGAGCUCGUCGACAACUUUGCCAUGCAUAUCCCCAGCCUUGCGUGGCAGCUCCGAGUGCUCGACAACACCAUGGACGACGCGAGUCGUGCGAAAUUUUCUCCGCGUCGUGCCACCUCACUUCGCUCAGGUAGCGGUCUCCAUCGAGACCUUGCUUGA
rnacentral:rRNA from 1 species